rnacentral:lncRNA from 1 species
GCCUAUUUCAACAUGAGCACAGUCUAAACGCUCUGGCCUGGGGGCUGAAAAGGGUCACUCUCUAGGGAAUGGGGGUCUACAACCAUGUACCAGCUACAGCCAGUGCAAGAAGCCUGAGGCCAACUGAGGACCAAGCUCAAGGUACCAGAUGAAGUGUGAAAACCAGAUCCAAAGUCUACUUUAGUUUCAAGCUUCUAAGAGCCGCAUCGUGUGGUUAGGAAGGAGAGUGGAGUUAAUAAACCCACGCCAACUGGAGGCAUUGAGAACAAGCUCCUGAGAAAGGCACCGUGGGAUCCAGUGAGGGCACAGAAGCGACACAAGAUCCUGUAGAUGAAGUCAUGAAAUGAUCAAGGCUCAGAAAGUUAAUCUUCCCAAAUGACGCAGUCAGCAGGUAACCACGGCCAAGUCCCCUCCAUCACACCACCAUCCCCCGGUGGCCGUAAAGGAAUGCUACCAAGAGACUGUCAAGAAAGAAAGAAAGAAAGAAGAAUUUCACCUCUCAUCUCCUUUUCUACAUCAGAAACUACAGAAUUCCUUAACUGUCAACACUACUCAGAUUGACUGUUCCUAUGAUACGAUAUUGACUUUUCUGAUACUGCACAUAAAUAUAAAGGUUCUAGAUUAAACUCAGCUUCCCUAUUUAAAUGAAAAAAGAAAAGAUGAAGUUCAAGAUUCUUCGUGUACUUUCUCUCCUUUAUUGAGUGAUAGCCU